rnacentral:rRNA from 1 species
CAGCCGCCACGGUAAAACGUAGGGUGCAAGCGUUAUCCGGAAUUAUUGGGCGUAAAGAGCUCGUAGGCGGUUCGUCGCGUCUGCUGUGAAAACUGGAGGCUCAACCUCCAGCCUGCAGUGGGUACGGGCAAACUAGAGUGCGGUAGGGGAGAUUGGAAUUCCUGGUGUAGCGGUGGAAUGCGCAGAUAUCAGGAGGAACACCGAUGGCGAAGGCAGAUCUCUGGGCCGUAACUGACGCUGAGGAGCGAAAGCAUGGGGAGCGAACAGGAUUAGAUACCCCUGUAGUCCCUGUCUCUUAUAC